CUCAUUCUUCACUGUUUUGCCAUUUUAUUUUAUUAAUAUGAAUAAAAUUUUAAUUGUAAAAAAAUAGAAAUUUUUUCUUUCUCUCUCGCUUAAACUGUCGACAGAAAAAAAAAAAAAAAAAAAACUUGCGACUUCUUCUUCUUCUCCUACGCUCAUCCCCGAUCUCAGGCAACUCCUUCUCCGUCACCACCUCCAAGUCACAGACCCCUUCGAUUUCGAAAACCCCAACCCCAUCUCGUGUUCAUGUUUGUUGCGAGAGAGAAACCCUAAUUCCACACCACCGCAUGCAAUUCCCAGAAACAUAAACUUGAUGGCUUCAUCUUCUGUCAUUAGAAUGUAUCCUCGGCGUUUGUACGAAGUUGGGAGAACACCAAUUCAGAACAGAAUUUGAUGUAUACAAAGAUUUGAUGUUACUUACUAGAAUUUUUGAUUCUUUAGGAUAACAUGGAUAGAGCUUUACCAUCUCACCUCUGAUUCGAAUUACUAAUAAGUGCUUUUAUAUUCUUUUUUUUUUGUUCUCUGCAAUGACUUUGUUCUCUGUUUUUUUUUUUUUUUUUUUACUAUUUUCGUUACAUAUUAUUCAGUCAUGGAUGGUUCAGAAAAAGAUCAAUUCACAAGAUGGAUUGCCAAUACAAUGUGUUGUGAAGAAGGAGAAAAAACUAAGAAGAUGAUACAGAAGGAGGAACUUACGAACAAGGAGGAGAAAAAGAAUGAGAAGAAAGCUGAAGUACCAGUAAAAAAAGUAAAGCAAGAGAAGGCCUUCGAUAUACCAGAAGUAAAAGAUGAAUCUAUAUCAUCAAGAAGCUUGGGAAAAUCAUCUUUAAUGGAAUUUAGAUGGAUGUAUAACUUGCUGGUUUAUGGAUUUAGAUGGAUGUAUAACUUGCUAGUUUUUGGCUUUAAAUGGAUUUAUAACUUGCUGGUUUUUUUUGGCUUAUGAAUGAUGGAUGUAUAAUAGUUUCGAUUUAUGCA